rnacentral:rRNA from 1 species
CAGCUCGUGUCGUGAGAUUGGUUGGGUUAAGUCCCGUAACGAGCGCAACCCUUGUCCUUAGUUACCAGCACGUUAAGGUGGGCACUCUAAGGAGACUGCCGGUGACAAACCGGAGGAAGGUGGGAUGACGUCAAGUCAUCAUGGCCCUUACGGCCUGGGCUACACACGUGCUACAAUGGGUGGUACAAAGAGCAGCCAACUCGCGAGAGCGCGCUAAUCUCAAAAAGCCAUCCUCAGUUCGGAUUGGAGUCUGCAACUCGACUCCAUGAAGUUGGAAUCGCUAGUAAUCGCGGAUCAGCAUGCCGCGGUCGAAUACGUUCCGGGCCUU